rnacentral:misc_RNA from 1 species
GAUGAAGAACGUAGCGAAAUGCGAUAAGUAAUGUGAAUUGCAGAAUUCAGUGAAUCAUCGAAUCUUUGAACGCACAUUGCGCCCCCUGGUAUUCCGGGGGGCAUGCCUGUCCGAGCGUCAUUACAACCCUCAAGCUCAGCUUGGUGUUGGGCCCCGCCGCCCCGGCGGGCCCUAAAGUCAGUGGCGGUGCCGUCCGGCUCCGAGCGUAGUAAUUCUUCUCGCUCUGGAGGUCCGGUCGUGUGCUCGCCAGCAACCCCCAAUUUUUUCCAGGUUGACCUCGGAUCAGGUAGGGAUACCCGCUGAACUUAAGCAUAUCAAAAGCGGAGGA